GCUUACGGCCAUACCACCUUAGGCACGCCUGAGGAUCUCACGGGUCGAUCUCGUCUGAUCUCGGAAGCUAAGCAGGGUCGGGCCUGGUUAGUACUUGGAUGGGUGACCGCCUGGGAAUACCAGGUGCUGUAAGCA
ensembl:rRNA 5S_rRNA 5S ribosomal RNA